rnacentral:rRNA from 1 species
CCUACGGGAGGCAGCAGUGAGGAAUAUUGGUCAAUGGACGAGAGUCUGAACCAGCCAAGUAGCGUGAAGGAUGACUGCCCUAUGGGUUGUAAACUUCUUUUAUAUGGGAAUAAAAUGUUCCACGUGUGGGAUUUUGUAUGUACCAUAUGAAUAAGGGUCGGCUAACUCCGUGCCAGCAGCCGCGGUAAUACGGAGGAUCCGAGCGUUAUCCGGAUUUAUUGGGUUUAAAGGGAGCGUAGGUGGAUUUUUAAGUCAGUUGUGAAAGUUUGCGGCUCAACCGUAAAAUUGCAGUUGAAACUGGCAGUCUUGAGUACAGUAGAGGUGGGCGGAAUUCGUGGUGUAGCGGUGAAAUGCUUAGAUAUCACGAAGAACUCCGAUUGCGAAGGCAGUUCACUGGACUGCAACUGACACUGAGGCUCGAAAGUGUGGGUAUCAAACAGGAUUAGAUACCCGUGUAGUC